AUUGAACGCUGGCAGCAGGCCUAACACAUGCAAGUCGAACGGUAACAGGAAGAAGCUUGCUUCUUUGCUGACGAGUGGCGGACGGGUGAGUAAUGUCUGGGAAACUGCCUGAUGGAGGGGGAUAACUACUGGAAACGGUAGCUAAUACCGCAUAACGUCGCAAGACCAAAGAGGGGGACCUUCGGGCCUCUUGCCAUCGGAUGUGCCCAGAUGGGAUUAGCUAGUAGGUGGGGUAACGGCUCACCUAGGCGACGAUCCCUAGCUGGUCUGAGAGGAUGACCAGCCACACUGGAACUGAGACACGGUCCAGACUCCUACGGGAGGCAGCAGUGGGGAAUAUUGCACAAAGGGCGCAAGCCUGAUGCAGCCAUGCCGCGUGUAUGAAGAAGGCCUUCGGGUUGUAAAGUACUUUCAGCGGGGAGGAAGGGAGUAAAGUUAAUACCUUUGCUCAUUGACGUUACCCGCAGAAGAAGCACCGGCUAACUCCGUG
rnacentral:rRNA from 1 species